rnacentral:ncRNA from 1 species
AACCCUUACGGGAGCCAGCCGCCGAAGGUGGGACAGAUGAUUGGGGUGAAGUCGUAACAAGGUAGCCGUAUCGGAAGGUGCGGCUGGAUCACCUCCUUU